UUGACUCCUGAUGGCAGAAGAGAAG
rnacentral:piRNA from 1 species